rnacentral:rRNA from 1 species
GACGAACGCUGGCGGCGUGCUUAACACAUGCAAGUCGAACGGUAAGGCCCUUCGGGGUACACGAGUGGCGAACGGGUGAGUAACACGUGGGUGAUCUGCCCUGCACUUCGGGAUAAGCCUGGGAAACUGGGUCUAAUACCGGAUAGGACCCUGGGAUGCAUGUCCUGGGGUGGAAAGCUUUUGCGGUGUGGGAUGGGCCCGCGGCCUAUCAGCUUGUUGGUGGGGUGAUGGCCUACCAAGGUGACGACGGGUAGCCGGCCUGAGAGGGUGACCGGCCACACUGGGACGGAGAUACGGCCCAGACUCCUACUGGAGGCAGCAGUGGGGAAUAUUGCACAAUGGGCGCAAGCCUGAUGCAGCGACGCCGCGUGAGGGAUGACGGCCUUCGGGUUGUAAACCUCUUUCAGCACCGACGAAGCGCAAGUGACGGUAGGUGCAGAAGAAGGACCGGCCAACUACGUGCCAGCAGCCGCGGUAA